rnacentral:rRNA from 1 species
GUCUGUGGCCGCACUAUCCUAGACACACCCAAUCUCAUUGAUCUUGGAAGCUAAGCAGGGUGGGGCCUGGUUAGUACUUUGAUGGGAGAAUUCUAAAUGUGAAAUUUAUUAGGUUAAAGAAC